GAUGAACGCUGGCGGCGUGCCUAAUACAUGCAAGUCGAGCGAACGGACGAGAAGCUUGCUUCUCUGAUGUUAGCGGCGGACGGGUGAGUAACACGUGGAUAACCUACCUAUAAGACUGGGAUAACUUCGGGAAACCGGAGCUAAUACCGGAUAAUAUUUUGAACCGCAUGGUUCAAAAGUGAAAGACGGUCUUGCUGUCACUUAUAGAUGGAUCCGCGCUGCAUUAGCUAGUUGGUAAGGUAACGGCUUACCAAGGCAACGAUGCAUAGCCGACCUGAGAGGGUGAUCGGCCACACUGGAACUGAGACACGGUCAAGACUCCUACGGGAGGCAGCAGUAGGGAAUCUUCCGCAAUGGGCGAAAGCCUGACGGAGCAACGCCGCGUGAGUGAUGAAGGUCUUCGGAUCGUAAAACUCUCUUAUUAGGGAAGAACAUAUGUGUAAGUAACUGUGCACAUCUUGACGGUACCUAAUCAGAAAGCCACGGCUAACUACGUG
rnacentral:rRNA from 1 species